UAUGCCUACGGGGGGCAGCAGUGGGGAAUAUUGGGCAAUGGGCGCAAGCCUGACCCAGCAACGCCGCGUGAAGGAAGAAGGCUUUCGAGUUGUAAACUUCUUUUAAGGGGGAAGAGUAGAAGACGGUACCCCUUGAAUAAGCCACGGCUAACUACGUGCCAGCAGCCGCGGUAAAACGUAGGGGGCGAGCGUUGUCCGGAAUGACUGGGCGUAAAGGGUGCGUAGGCGGCAUAAUAAGUUAGAAGUGAAAUACCCAGAGCUUAACUCGGGUGCUGCUUCUAAGACUGUUGAGCUUGAGUGCGGGG
rnacentral:rRNA from 1 species